GUCGGUGUCUAUAGCUGUGAGGUCCCACCCGUUCCCAUUCCGAACACGGUCGUUAAGCUCACACGCGCCGAAGAUACUUGGGUGGAAGCGCCCUGGGAAAAUAGGUCGUCGCCGGCA
rnacentral:rRNA from 1 species